UGGGGAAUAUUGGACAAUGGGCGCAAGCCUGAUCCAGCAAUUCCGCGUGAGCGAAGAAGGCCUUCGGGUUGUAAAGCUCUUUCGGCGGGGACGAUAAUGACGGUACCCGCAGAAGAAGCCCCGGCUAACUCCGUGCCAGCAGCCGCGGUAAUACGGAGGGGGCUAGCGUUGUUCGGAAUCACUGGGCGUAAAGCGCACGUAGGCGGCUACUCCAGUCAGAGGUGAAAGCCCGGGGCUCAACUCCGGAAUU
rnacentral:rRNA from 1 species